AUGCCAUGUACCGUCACGGCUAUCGGUUAGCCUUUUUCCUUUUUCAGAGAGAAACCAACUGGUUAUAAAAAUGAAAGAGAUAAAAACAUAUUUUCCACAUUAAAAGUACAGCAUUUAGUGAUUAGAAGUGUAAAAUUUACAGCCACUUAUCUCCUUGCGUAGUGAGUGUCCCAGACCUCUCUCCCUCACAAGUUCUAUUUCUCCCUCACAAUAACCAAAAAAAGUGACAGAUAAAAGAUCUUUUUUUUUAAAAACAAAAAAAUUCUAUUUACAAGAAAAUAUGCCUCUCCUAGCUACAAAUCUUCAUCUAGAGACUAAGUAGCUAGAGAGGUGUGUGAUUCAAAUUCGGAGUCUACUUAGAAACUAGAACCGAACUCAAAUUUCGAUACGAUUCCGGUUUGAUUCUUUAUUGUUUCGGUUUGGUUCAUGGUUCUUCAGUUCCCGUUUAGUUCUCUGUUUUGGAAAUAAUUUUUAUGUAAUUGUUUCUAUAAAAAGUAAUGCUUGAA
rnacentral:misc_RNA from 1 species